UACGUAGGGUGCAAGCGUUAAUCGGAAUUACUGGGCGUAAAGCGUGCGCAGGCGGCUUUGCAAGACAGAUGUGAAAUCCCCGGGCUUAACCUGGGAACUGCAUUUGUGACUGCAUGGCUGGAGUGCGGCAGAGGGGGAUGGAAUUCCGCGUGUAGCAGUGAAAUGCGUAGAUAUGCGGAGGAACACCGAUGGCGAAGGCAAUCCCCUGGGCCUGCACUGACGCUCAUGCACGAAAGCGUGGGGAGCAACAGG
rnacentral:rRNA from 1 species